rnacentral:rRNA from 1 species
GGGAACUGCAUUUGAAACUGGCAGGCUUGAGUCUCGUAGAGGGGGGUAGAAUUCCAGGUGUAGCGGUGAAAUGCGUAGAGAUCUGGAGGAAUACCGGUGGCGAAGGCGGCCCCCUGGACGAAGACUGACGCUCAGGUGCGAAAGCGUGGGGAGCAAACAGGAUUAGAUACCCUGGUAGUCCACGCCGUAAACGAUGUCGACUUGGAGGUUGUUCCCUUGAGGAGUGGCUUCCGGAGCUAACGCGUUAAGUCGACCGCCUGGGGAGUACGGCCGCAAGGUUAAAACUCAAAUGAAUUGACGGGGGCCCGCACAAGCGGUGGAGCAUGUGGUUUAAUUCGAUGCAACGCGAAGAACCUUACCUACUCUUGACAUCCACGGAAUUCGGCAGAGAUGCCUUAGUGCCUUCGGGAACCGUGAGACAGGUGCUGCAUGGCUGUCGUCAGCUCGUGUUGUGAAAUGUUGGGUUAAGUCCCGCAACGAGCGCAACCCUUAUCCUUUGUUGCCAGCGAUUCGGUCGGGAACUCAAAGGAGACUGCCGGUGAUAAACCGGAGGAAGGUGGGGGAAUGACGUCAAGUCAUCAUGGCCCUUACGAGUAGGGCUACACACGUGCUACAAUGG